GGUUAAGCGACUAAGCGUACACGGUGGAUGCCCUGGCAGUCAGAGGCGAUGAAGGACGUGCUAAUCUGCGAUAAGCGUCGGUAAGGUGAUAUGAACCGUUAUAACCGGCGAUUUCCGAAUGGGGAAACCCAGUGUGAUUCGUCACACUAUCAUUAACUGAAUCCAUAGGUUAAUGAGGCGAACCGGGGGAACUGAAACAUCUAAGUACCCCGAGGAAAAGAAAUCAACCGAGAUUCCCCCAGUAGCGGCGAGCGAACGGG
rnacentral:rRNA from 1 species